GAGUUUGAUCCUGGCUCAGAUUGAACGCUGGCGGCAUGCCUUACACAUGCAAGUCGAACGGCAGCACGGGAGCUUGCUCCUGGUGGCGAGUGGCGAACGGGUGAGUAAUGCAUCGGAACGUAUCCUGGAGUGGGGGAUAACGUAGCGAAAGUUACGCUAAUACCGCAUAUUCUGUGAGCAGGAAAGCGGGGGACCUUCGGGCCUCGCGCUCUUGGAGCGGCCGAUGUCGGAUUAGCUAGUUGGUGAGGUAAAGGCUCACCAAGGCGACGAUCCGUAGCAGGUCUGAGAGGAUGAUCUGCCACACUGGAACUGAGACACGGUCCAGACUCCUACGGGAGGCAGCAAUGGGGAAUUUUGGACAAUGGGGGCAACCCUGAUCCAGCCAUGCCGCGUGAGUGAAGAAGGCC
rnacentral:rRNA from 1 species